GUGCUCGCUUUGGCAGCACAUAGACUAAAACUGGAGCAAUACAGAGAAGAUUAGCAUGGCCCCAGCAAAGAUAUGACAUGCAUAUUUGUGAAACGUUUUAUAUUUUU